rnacentral:rRNA from 2 species
ACGGGUGAGGAAUGCGUCGGAAUCUGCCUAUUUGUGGGGGAUAACGUAGGGAAACUUACGCUAAUACCGCAUACGACCUACGGGUGAAAGUGGGGGACCGCAAGGCCUCACGCAGAUAGAUGAGCCGACGCCGGAUUAGCUAGUUGGCGGGGUAAAGGCCCACCAAGGCGACGAUCCGUAGCUGGUCUGAGAGGAUGAUCAGCCACACUGGAACUGAGACACGGUCCAGACUCCUACGGGAGGCAGCAGUGGGGAAUAUUGGACAAUGGGCGCAAGCCUGAUCCAGCCAUGCCGCGUGUGUGAAGAAGGCCUUCGGGUUGUAAAGCACUUUUGUCCGGAAAGAAAACCUUUCGAUUAAUACUCGGGGGGAAUGACGGUACCGGAAGAAUAAGCACCGGCUAACUUCGUGCCAGCAGCCGCGGUAAUACGAAGGGUGCAAGCGUUACUCGGAAUUACUGGGCGUAAAGCGUGCGUAGGUGGUUUGUUAAGUCUGAUGUGAAAGCCCUGGGCUCAACCUGGGAACUGCAUUGGAAACUGGCUUACUAGAGUGCGGUAGAGGGUAGUGGAAUUCCCGGUG